GACGAACCGUGCGAACGUUGUUCGGAAUCACUGGGCUUAAAGGGCGCGUAGGCGGGCGGCCAAGUCAGGGGUGAAAGCCCCCAGCUCAACUGGGGAAGUGCCUUUGAUACUGGUCAUCUCGAGGGAGGUAGGGGCGUGCGGAACUUCCGGUGGAGCGGUGAAAUGCGUAGAUAUCGGAAGGAACACCGGUGGCGAAAGCGGCGCGCUGGACCUCUUCUGACGCUGAGGCGCGAAAGCCAGGGGAGCAAACGGG
rnacentral:rRNA from 1 species